UUGGUUUACUAAUCGGGUCAACGCGCUGGCUCGCGCGGCCGGGGGCGGCGCGCCUGCUUGAUGCAAAACGGCGGCGGUGGCCGGAUCCGUGCGCGGCAGGGGCUGGGAGGCGGAUCCGGAGGCGGGAGGCGAGGCGUGGGUCGCCGGUGAAGACAAGGCCUGAGCACGGUUUCCGUGCGGAUCCAUGGCAUCCGCGACUCUGGGAAGAAAGGAAACAGGGAGGUGAGGGAGGGAGAAAGGAGGCGCGGUGCGGAGACCUAGGCGGGAGCUCGCCGGGGCGUGGCGACAGUGGACGGGCGCGGGAGAGGCGCGGAUUCGGCGCGACGGUGCAGAGUCCUUAAAUAUUCAGACUCGACGUAUUUCCUUCUUCAUCCUGCUGGUGUUGUUCGUCCAGACGAAGGAGAAGAGGAAGGCGGCAACGCUACCGGCCGGCUGGGUGACAGCAGCCAGGCCACGGGUGGUGCAGCCACUCCGGCGAGUAUGAAUGAGGAAUUGACCACCAGAGCAACACGUGGUGCAGCUAGCUGCAGCGAGGACCAACUUGACUUGAUGGGGAUACAAUUACCAAGAAAGAAUCAUACUCCUGUAUGAUCCAAGAUAUUGCACGAACAAGCUUGGGUGGAUACACAAGAAAGAAUCAUACUCCUGUAUGACCAACUUGACUUGAUGGGGAGUACCUGAACUUACCUUUAUGCAUUGCACGAACUACCAAGAUAUUAUAUCUUCCUGUAUGAUCCAUAACUCAUAGACAUGGGUAGCGAUGGGAUACCAUUUGGUAUGAACAACAUCAUCAUCUUGCAAUUCUAACAUGUAUUCAUUUAAUUUAUUUAUCUGCAUAAUAGCGAUGGAUCUUACGUAUGUCUAUUUUAUUUGAAUCUAAAAUGCAAUUAACUCCUUAAUUUGCCUUCAAAAGGAUGAGCGAUCUGGCAUGUAAGAUUAGCUCGGCGGUUCAGAUUAUCACUGUUAGUCUUUUGGUCAUGGCAAUUUUUUUAGACUUCUUGAGGUAGCUCAACCAAUCUGGUGUAAAGCUAUGAAGGCAUUUUGCUUGGAAACAAUACUGAAAGGAUACCUUAACUUCAUUUUGUCCCCUAGAUUAGUAUAAGUAUAUUAAGUCCCGUUUAUUUAGAUGUAUAGCUCGCAUGACAGUUUUGUUUAAACAAGUUUUUGGGGCAUUUAGCAAUUCUCA